CUCCCGGUCUGCCCGCUGUGCGUCACACUGCCCUGGGAAUGAGACUCACCGUUGGCAUGGGUUAGAUGGGGACAAUAGGGGAGAGGAAGUGGUGGAAGAGUCCAGCAUGACCCUUGACCCCCCUCCCUCCACCAAACAAUGCUAGCACCCUCUCCCAAAGUAGAAAGCUGGACGCUGACUGAGCUGUCCCUCCUGUGCAAGCAAUGAUAAGGCGCUCUUAAUGUGUUUGCUCAGGGGAUGAGAGAGAAAGGCCUCUGACGCAGAAGGGCCCAUUGCCUGCAGUCCCUUUCAUAAUAGUCCCCGGAUGCCCAGCACACAGACAAACACCUCUCCAAAUGUCACAGCAAUGGAUUGUAAAGUGUAGUUUGAUAGGCGCUCUUUGUGCCUGUGUACCAGUUCCCCCAGAGCCAGAGCAUUUAAAUAGCAGGCCCUUACCAACCAGCCCUGGCAGAAAUCAAGAGACCACGGUAGACACACACAGUUACCUGACAAGCCUUGAAGACAGGCGCUCAACACUUGAGGGACGACUGUGCACUUACAGUACGCAGAAUCUGACAACGACGGAGCCAUACCAGUCUCCGAACAAGAAAUUAGUAUCCAGGAGAAAGGAAACGGACACAAUGCAGUGUGGAGUGCUCCUCGGUGCCUUGGUGAUGGUGAUGGUGUCUGCAGUGGGCAGUGCCCCUCUUCACACUGAUACGUUCCUGACACAGGGAGAUGAGAGGAAACCCCAUGUCUCCACGGAGAAUGGUAUAGAGCAGCUGGAGAGGAUCCUGAAGAUUCUGUCUGCACUGGAGGAGAUUCACAGGAAUGCUAACAUCACACUGGGCACCAGGAUCACUGGAACACGGGCUAAUUUCCGCGCCGCGGGGAAGAGAAACCGAAUGGUAAGUUUCUGUCAUGCUUCUUUCUUCUAUCUGGUGCACCUCUGUUUCAUUACAUGCCAAUAGUAACCUGCCCCCAUUCUCUGCUUUCACCAUUUUUACUCAGGUAUAAUAAAGGUAUAAGGUAUAAUUUCUUAGUUCUGUAGCUAAAUAAACAAAAGCCUGAAAAUUAACCCAAGAACAAAGAGCUUGAUGGGUGCAAACUUAAAUACCUUCCACAACCCAUGGAGAGUAUAAAGAUUUCCUGUUACAGCAAUAGCUCUGUCUGUUCUCCUUUCUCAAAAGUGUCUGUAUUGUGAAUCUCUGACAGGGGGCAUCAGAAGAAACUCACAGAGCUGCCACAGCUCCCCCUGUGGAUGAGACAGGAACUGCAGCACGUCCAAGUGAUGACCUCGCUGACUCCCAGACCUUGCCAGGGAGAAGUUUCAAGAAGUCCCUCCCUCAACCACCAAAAAAACCCAAUAAACGAGGUAAGUAACACCUUGAGUGAGUUAUAUUAGUGUUCUAUAUUCUAUCAUUACAUUCCAAAAAUAACAGAGUGCGCAUUAUGUAGACUGUUUUACAUAAUUGUUAUUUAAACUGUUUUAUAUGCCUUUUGUUAGAAGCCCAUACCAGAGUUACCUUGGAUAAAGCCUAUAAAUUAACCUCAUUAUUCUAAUUUGUAUUAUUGCUUAACUUCUUGUGUAACUAGAUCAUAAACAGCUGCCCAGGCUCUCUGCAGUAUUCAAGGAUCUGUACUGGUUUGAGUGUAGAGAUCCAUGUUGUGUAGGGUCUAUAUGUAUGUCCUUGAAUUACAACUUAUUUGUUUUUGUGGUGUAAACAACUGGUACAAUGAUGUAAUUACGAGUUUGGGUGGAAUAUCAACCAGAAGAUCCUGUCAUUCUCCAGAACAGAGUUCUACUAUUGAUCUAGUGCCCCUUGCUGAUGUUGCAAUAAUGAAAAAUUAGAACAAAAUCGAAGCAGAAUGGGAGAGUUGAGGUGACUGUGUCCACUUGUUGUCCUACUGUAUAUUCCCCAUCUCCAGACCUAGGUUUCCACUAACACUCCACUUUUUUGAUCUAAUAAGUAAUAUAUUUAAUGAAUUAUGCUCUUUGUUGCAACCAAACCAGUGAAGUUCCUUUAAAAUAUUACAUGUCUGAAAGGCAGGGAAGAAGUUGAACUUAGUGUUGCUUUGUCUCACUGUACUUCUCUGUCUCCUUUUCCUUUUCCUACAGUCUGCUUCUGGAAAUACUGCUCCCAAAACUGACUCCUGACCUUUGACCCAGGACACUCUCUGAAGAGUCCCUAACUCAGCACUUAGCAACGACGGAGAGAGCGCUAACAGCGACCUUUUCAAUAGGCCAAUAAUAACAUUACUGACAUCUGUCGGCACACUGUAUGUCCCAGACCUGUGUACUGCUACUGUACUGUACAUCAACCACUACUGCAACCUAGAGAUCAAAUAAAUGUUACAGUAUAAAAGCGAAUAAACAGAUUUUUAUUUUUAUAAGAUUGCCAGGUGUCACUUGCAGAGUUUAUCAAAGCAAACAAACAAAAAUGUUGUAGGCUCUGUUACCAAGGCUACAGUGUCUCAUGGCCUGAAGUAGGGAAUUUAUUUGGAUCCUACCCUUUUGAAGAAAGGUCUCUCACUCUCUCUUCUUGUUUGUUUCCUCUUUCCACUCUUUUCUGUUUCUCUUUUUUUUGGAAACUGACACAAGUUCCCUAUCAAAGCACCAUGCUGUCCAGCCCUGUAAAACAGUUUCUUCUGAGCACUAAAGCACUGAACGUGUGUCCAGGCAGUUGUCAGUCCUGACAUUACCCCAACAACUCAGUAAUUCAUAAAACAAAGCCAAAAUGCCAGCAAUGAGUAUGCUCUGGGAAAAACCAAUAGAGAUGGGUAACUGGCAGCUCCCUGCUCGCCAUGUGUCUCAAUUAAUGCUGCAAGGGGUUGAGACCUAAGUCUGAGCACACUCAAGCUCUCAGACUCUCCUGUCCCCCUGGUGGAGUCUUGGUGAUUCAUGAGCAAUAGAGAUGUGUAUUACAGCAGCAUUCUUCUUUUCCACUUGGAAUGGUCACCAGUAUAAUUUAUCUCUCAAAACCUUUUGAUUAAUAAAAAAUGUAGGGUUUUCAUGCCCACAUUUUCAGGCAGACCUAGAAGGUGUAGGUGUGAAUUUCUUUAAGGAGUUGUGUUGAACAACAUACUGUAGGUUACAAUCACUUUGGAUCUGUAACAUUUCUGUAAAAUCUAGGAUUUUUUUAUCUCACUGUGUAUCACAAUUCAAUUCUAUACAUACAGUCCUGGGGCCUAUAUGUAAUAGAGAUGUUUAAUAACACAAGGCUUCUCAACACUAGCUGUCCACAUGGUACUGAUUUAUCCUGCUCAUAUAAAUUUGCUAAAAAAAUCUACAAAUCCAUGUUUUACAUGUAAAAUUCACAAACCAAGUUGACAAACUGCCAAUUCAGGCAGAGGAGGCUGUGUCCCACUUUCCAUCUUUUUGGCCAUUAAUACUAAUAUAUCAGUCUUCUUUGUUGUUCAAGCAGUGGGAUUCCUCUUUUACCUCUCCCUUCCACAGUUUCAGUAAUCUUUCCAUCUGUGGAACUUUGAAAGAAUUCAUCAUUUGAAAAAAUGCAUCAGAAAACUUCAACUUUGAUCACACCUUACACUAUUCUCCCUCACAUGUAAAGAUACGUACUGUAUAUGUUAUUUUUCUGUUCUGCUUUUCAGCCUGCAAGUAGUCUCCAUUAACAUUUGCAGCCUACACCCUUACACUGCUCUUCACUCAAACUACAGUAAAAAUGUAUGCUAACUACAACAAAGAAUUUAUUUAGAAUAGUAAUUUAUAUGCAUUUUAUACAGUCAUCCUAACAAAAAUUCGGGACUCAUCUUUUGCAAGUGCCUUAGCUCUCCUACUUUUUAUUGAGCAUCUUUCCAUCAACAGUCACACAUGCUACGUUAUUGUAUCAGAUGAUGAGUUUAUCAUUAGUAUAUCAGACAGAUGUGCCCUUGAAUUACAUUCCCAAAAGGCCUUUAGAUUUUUUAAACUUCAUUAGUACUAUAACAUUGGAAAGUCCUACUGCAUUUAAACAUGUUGUCCAUUGUGUGCUCAUGUCUGAAUAGUAUAAUAAUAUUCAAUUUUUCGUUGUGUAACCACACAAGGAUUUAAACCACUUUUUAGACUGGAGGACUAAUCAACCUAAUAUUUCUGAACUUUUUUUUGGGAUGGUUUUUGCUUGUCUCAUCUUUAAAGUGAACAGGAAAUUCUCCAUAAAAAGGACAGUGAGCUAUGUAUCAUGAGGAAGGCUUGACAAUGACUCAUGAGGUUGAUACUCUCUUUUUUUCUUUUGCUCUGCUGAUCUGCCCCUGAACAACUCUGGUCUUUUUGAGCUGUAUGAAUCACUUGUCCUCUGAAGAAGAUGUGGAAUGUUGAUGGCAAGCACAGAUCCAGGGAUCCUUCUUCAUGUCUGUGGCUCAAACAUCUCUAUAGACUCCAAUGAAUUCACUGUAAAUUAAAACAAAGAGAGCUGAAAACACAGCCCUUUGAAUCAAAACAAAUUUUUGUGUUAAUGUUCAUCUUCACAAAUCAUCUACAAAACACUAUUUGAAAUAUAUAUUUCUUUUUUUAUUUUGUGAGAUUUGUAAGGCAUUUACACACAGGUUGCUUAAGUUGUGUUAACAACCAUACCUACAUAGAUAUGAAACAAUCAACUCAAAUUUGCAAAGUUUGCAUUAGGCUGCUAGUUAAAAAUAAGCUUAUAUAUGAGAAUACAUUUUUAUACAUACUACUAUUCCUUAGAAAGAUAUAAAAGUAUCCAAAGGAAUAAACAAGGAAAUGACAUAAAAGAAAAAUUAGAGUAUCUCGAUACUUCUUGUUAGCAUAAUUCUAAAAUUGUAUAAAGACGUAUAUAUAUCAUGUAUAUUGUAGGGUAUGAAAUCUGAAUUGUCCAGAGAUUUGAUUCAAACAAUGGCCUUUAAGAGUGUCUUGUAUGUGAAAUUACUGAUAUUCUUACAAUCUGAAGAGACCUGGGGGAGUGGGAAGUUUCAUUGUAUCAAGCCCAUUUUACAUUUUACAUGUUGCAGCAAAUAUGUCCAACCCUGUAAGUGGAGGGCCACAGUGUAGUAGGUUUGACCGUCUCUUCAAAUUAUCAUCACCUAAAGCAGGGGAUCCCAUUCACCUGCGGGGUGUUGCUCCAGCCAAGCACUCAAUUACACAAUUGAAAACUUAAUUAACUUCAUAAUAGGUAUUAAUAUAAUAUACAUAUUAGGUAUUCAUUUGAUCUAUUUGACUCUUUUCAGCUCUUAAUCAUAUUGGAGGACACCUUUGAACUAUUGCAUUUCAUAAGUAAAAUAAAAUCCCAAAAAAGGUGGACAUAUCCAAUCGAGAGACUAAUUUGUUAAAUUAAGGCUGUAAUUAGAUGAUUGAGCUCAGCUACAUGAAAACCACCAGGUGUAUGGUUCACCAGGACCAGGACUGGGGACCUGUGAUCUAAAGGACUGGGAAAAAAAUUAAAAAAAGUUCAAAUAAAACAAUAAUUAGUGGAACUGGGCAGAUAACAACUGUGCUACAAUGAAAAACUGCAGACACAGAAGUCAUCUAGGACCAGAACUGGACAUUCCUGUGUGGGACACACAGCAGACGUUGGGGAAAUACAAUCAUGCUUCCAUCAUAUUUGUGAAACAGACUGACAUCUGGUUGCUCCAACUCUCUCUUUGAUUCACGACCUUUCCUCUUUCCACUAUCAAAUAUCUUAUAGACAGAGGACAGGCAAUACAAGAGGCAGUCCAGUACCUUGGUUGUGUGUAGUAUAGACAGAGGAUAGUCUAUACAGGCCAGUAUCUUGAUGAUGUUGAGUAUAGACAAAGGACUGUUGGAGCAGUUCAGUACCUUGAUGAAGUGCAUGAUAGAUAGAGGACAAGUAUUGGAAACAAUUCUACAGAUCUAAGUUGUGAACCACAUACAGUGCCUUGCGAAAGUAUUCGGCCCCCUUGAACUUUUCAACCUUUUGCCACAUUUCAGGCUUCAAACAUAAAGAUAUAAAUUUUUUAUUUUA
rnacentral:lncRNA from 1 species